GACGUAGGAUGCAAGCGUUGUCCGGAUUUAUUGGGCGUAAAGAGUUCGUAGGCUGCUCGUUAAGUCUGGUGUAAAAGAUCAAGGCUCAACCUUGGGACUGCACUGGAUACUGGCGGGCUGGAGUAUGGUAGAGGCAAGCGGAAUUCCUGGUGUAGCGGUGAAAUGCGUAGAUAUCAGGAAGAACACCAGUUGCGCAAGCGGCUUGCUGGGCCAUAACUGACGCUGAGGAACGAAAGCUAGGGUAGCGAAUGGG
rnacentral:rRNA from 1 species